GAUGUGGGGAGGAUGUUUCCUAUCGUGGGAGAGUCUAGGACUAGAGGACACAGAGUGGAUGUGGAGAGGAUGUUUCCUAUAGUGGGAGAGUCUAUUACCAGAGGGCACAGAUAGAGUGGAUGUGGAGAGGAUUUUUCCUAUAAUGGGAUAUUCUAUGACCAGAGGGCACAGAUAGAGUGGAUGUGGAGAGAAUGUUUCCUAUAGUGGGAUAGUCUAAGACCAGAGGACACAGAUAGAGUGGGUGUGGAGAGGAUGUUUCCUAUAGUGGGAGAGUCUAGGAACAGACGGCACAGAUAGAGUGGUUGUGGAAAGGAUGUUUCCUAUAGUGGGUGACUCUAGGACCACAGGGCACAGGUAGAGUGGAUGUGGAGAGGAUGUUUCCUAUAGUGAGAGAGUCUAGGACCAGAGGGCACAGGUAGAGUGGAUGUGGAGAGGAUGUUUCCUAUAGUGGGAGAGUCUAGGAACAGACGGCACAGAUAGAGUGGUUGUGGAAAGGAUGUUUCCUAUAGUGGGGGAAUCUAGGACCAGAGGACACAGAUAGAGUGGAUGUGGAGAGGAUGUUUCCUAUAGUGGGGGAAUCUAGGACCAGAGGACACAGAUAGAGUGGAUGUGGAGAGGAUAUUUCCUAUAGUGGGAUAGUCUAAGACCAGAGGACACAGAUAGAGUGGGUGUGGAGAGGAUGUUUCCUAUAGUGGGAGAGUCUAGGACCAGAGGACACAGAUAGAGUGGAUGUGGAGAGGAUGUUUCCUAUACUGGGAGAGUCUAGGACCAGAGUACACAGAGCCAGUGGAUGUGGAGAGAAUGUUUCCAAUUGUGGGGGAGUCUCGGACCAGAGGACACAGAGACAGUGGAUGUGGAGAGGAUGUUUCCUAUGGUGGGAGUGUCUAGGACCAGAGGACACAGAUAGAGUGGAUGUGGAGAGAAUGUUUCCUAUAGUGGGGGAGUGUAGGACCAGAGGACACAGCAAGAGUGGAUGUGGAGACCAUGUUUCCUAUAGUGGGGGAGUCUAGGACCAGAGGGCACAGGUAGAGUGGAUGUGGAGAGGAUGUUUCCUAUCGUGGGGGAGUCUAGGACUAGAGGACACAGAGUGGAUGUGGAGAGGAUGUUUCCUAUAGUGGGAGAGUCUAUUACCAGAGGGCACAGAUAGAGUGGAUGUGGAGAGGAUUUUUCCUAUAAUGGGAUAUUCUCUGACCAGAGGGCACAGAUAGAGUGGAUGUGGAGAGAAUGUUUCCUAUAGUGGGAUAGUCUAAGACCAGAGGACACAGAUAGAGUGGGUGUGGAGAGGAUGUUUCCUAUAGUGGGAGAGUCUAGGAACAGACGGCACAGAUAGAGUGGUUGUGGAAAGGAUGUUUCCUAUAGUGGGAGAGUCUAUGACCAGAGGGCACAGCUAGUGGAUGUGGAGAGGAUGUUUCCUAUAGUGGGGGAAUCUAGGACCAGAGGACACAGAUAGAGUGGAUGUGGAGAGGAUGUUUCCUAUAGUGGGAGAGUCUAGGACCAGAGGACACAGAUACAGUGGAUGUGGAGAGGAUGUUUCCUAUACUGGGAGAGUCUAGGACCAGAGGACACAGCAAGAGUGGAUGUGGAGACCAUGUUUCCUAUAGUGGGGGAGUCUAGGAGCAGAGUGCACAGAUAGAGUGGAUGUGGAGAGGAUGUUUCCUAUACUGGGAGAGUCUAGGACCAGAGGGCACAGGUAGAGUGGGUGUGGAGAGGAUGUUUCCUAUAGUGGGAGAAUCUAUGACCAGAGGGCACAGCUAGUGGAUGUGGAGAGGAUGUUUCCUAUAGUGGGAGAGUCUAGGACCAGAGGGCACAGAUAGAGUGGAUGUGGAGAGGAUGUUUCCUAUACUGGGAGAGUCUAGGAACAGAGGGCACAGAUGGAGUGGAUGUGGAGAGGAUUUUCCCUACAGUGUGGGAGUCUAUGACCAGAGUACACAGAGUCAGUGGAUGUGGAGAGAAUGUUUCCAAUAGUGUGGGAGUCUAGGACCAGAGGACACAGAGACAGUGGAUGUGUAGAGGAUGUUUCCUAGAGUGGGGGAGUCUAGGACCAGAGGGCACAGAUAGAGUGGAUGUGGAUAGGAUGUUUCCUAUAGUGGGGGAGUCUAGGAAUAGAGGUCACAGAGUGGAUGUGGAGAGGAUGUUUCCUAUAGUGCGAGAGUAUAUGACCAGAGGGCACAGAUAGUGGACGUGGAGAGGAUGUUUCCUAUAGUAGGGGAGUCUAGGACCAGAGGACACAGAUAGAGUGGAUGUGGAGAGGAUGUUUCCUAUAGUGGAAUAGUCUAAGACCAGAGGACACAGAUAGAGUGGGUGUGGAGAGGAUGUUUCCUAUAGUGGGAGAGUCUAGGACCAGAGGACACAGAUAGAGUGGAUGUGGAGAGGAUGUUUCCUAUACUGGGAGAGUCUAGGACCAGAGUACACAGAGCCAGUGGAUGUGGAGAGAAUGUUUCCAAUAGUGGGGGAGUCUCGGACCAGAGGACACAGAGACAUUGGAUGUGGAGAGGAUGUUUCCUAUGGUGUGAGUGUCUAGGACCAGAGGACACAGAUAGAGUGGAUGUGGAGAGAAUGUUUCCUAUAGUGGGGGAGUCUAGGACCACAGGGCACAGGUAGAGUGGAUGUGGAGAGGAUGUUUCCUAUAGUGGGAGAGUCUAGGAACAGACGGCACAGAUAGAGUGGUUGUGGAAAGGAUGUUUCCUAUACUGGGAGAGUCUAUGACCAGAGGGCACAGCUUGUGGAUGUGGAGAGGAUGUUUCCUAUAGUGGGGGAAUCUAGGACCAGAGGACACAGAUAGAGUGGAUGUGGAGAGGAUAUUUCCUAUAGUGGGAUAGUCUAAGACCAGAGGACACAGAUAGAGUGGGUGUGGAGAGGAUGUUUCCUAUAGUGGGAGAGUCUAGGACCAGAGGACACAGAUAGAGUGGAUGUGGAGAGGAUGUUUCCUAUACUGGGAGAGUCUAGGACCAGAGUACACAGAGCCAGUGGAUGUGGAGAGAAUGUUUCCAAUUGUGGGGGAGUCUCGGACCAGAGGACACAGAGACAGUGGAUGUGGAGAGGAUGUUUCCUAUGGUGGGAGUGUCUAGGACCAGAGGACACAGAUAGAGUGGAUGUGGAGAGAAUGUUUCCUAUAGUGGGGGAGUGUAGGACCAGAGGACACAGCAAGAGUGGAUGUGGAGACCAUGUUUCCUAUAGUGGGGGAGUCUAGGACCAGAGGGCACAGGUAGAGUGGAUGUGGAGAGGAUGUUUCCUAUCGUGGGGGAGUCUAGGACUAGAGGACACAGAGUGGAUGUGGAGAGGAUGUUUCCUAUAGUGGGAGAGUCUAUUACCAGAGGGCACAGAUAGAGUGGAUGUGGAGAGGAUUUUUCCUAUAAUGGGAUAUUCUCUGACCAGAGGGCACAGAUAGAGUGGAUGUGGAGAGAAUGUUUCCUAUAGUGGGAUAGUCUAAGACCAGAGGACACAGAUAGAGUGGGUGUGGAGAGGAUGUUUCCUAUAGUGGGAGAGUCUAGGAACAGACGGCACAGAUAGAGUGGUUGUGGAAAGGAUGUUUCCUAUAGUGGGAGAGUCUAUGACCAGAGGGCACAGCUAGUGGAUGUGGAGAGGAUGUUUCCUAUAGUGGGGGAAUCUAGGACCAGAGGACACAGAUAGAGUGGAUGUGGAGAGGAUGUUUCCUAUAGUGGGAGAGUCUAGGACCAGAGGACACAGAUACAGUGGAUGUGGAGAGGAUGUUUCCUAUACUGGGAGAGUCUAGGACCAGAGGACACAGCAAGAGUGGAUGUGGAGACCAUGUUUCCUAUAGUGGGGGAGUCUAGGAGCAGAGUGCACAGAUAGAGUGGAUGUGGAGAGGAUGUUUCCUAUACUGGGAGAGUCUAGGACCAGAGGGCACAGGUAGAGUGGGUGUGGAGAGGAUGUUUCCUAUAGUGGGAGAAUCUAUGACCAGAGGGCACAGCUAGUGGAUGUGGAGAGGAUGUUUCCUAUAGUGGGAGAGUCUAGGACCAGAGGGCACAGAUAGAGUGGAUGUGGAGAGGAUGUUUCCUAUACUGGGAGAGUCUAGGAACAGAGGGCACAGAUGGAGUGGAUGUGGAGAGGAUUUUCCCUACAGUGUGGGAGUCUAUGACCAGAGUACACAGAGUCAGUGGAUGUGGAGAGAAUGUUUCCAAUAGUGUGGGAGUCUAGGACCAGAGGACACAGAGACAGUGGAUGUGUAGAGGAUGUUUCCUAGAGUGGGGGAGUCUAGGACCAGAGGGCACAGAUAGAGUGGAUGUGGAUAGGAUGUUUCCUAUAGUGGGGGAGUCUAGGAAUAGAGGUCACAGAGUGGAUGUGGAGAGGAUGUUUCCUAUAGUGCGAGAGUAUAUGACCAGAGGGCACAGAUAGUGGACGUGGAGAGGAUGUUUCCUAUAGUAGGGGAGUCUAGGACCAGAGGACACAGAUAGAGUGGAUGUGGAGAGGAUGUUUCCUAUAGUGGAAUAGUCUAAGACCAGAGGACACAGAUAGAGUGGGUGUGGAGAGGAUGUUUCCUAUAGUGGGAGAGUCUAGGACCAGAGGACACAGAUAGAGUGGAUGUGGAGAGGAUGUUUCCUAUACUGGGAGAGUCUAGGACCAGAGUACACAGAGCCAGUGGAUGUGGAGAGAAUGUUUCCAAUAGUGGGGGAGUCUCGGACCAGAGGACACAGAGACAUUGGAUGUGGAGAGGAUGUUUCCUAUGGUGUGAGUGUCUAGGACCAGAGGACACAGAUAGAGUGGAUGUGGAGAGAAUGUUUCCUAUAGUGGGGGAGUCUAGGACCACAGGGCACAGGUAGAGUGGAUGUGGAGAGGAUGUUUCCUAUAGUGGGAGAGUCUAGGACCAGAGGACACAGCAAGAGUGGAUGUGGAGACCAUGUUUCCUAUAGUGGGGGAGUCUAGGACCAGAGGGCACAGGUAGAGUGGAUGUGGAGAGGAUGUUUCCUAUCGUGGGGGAGUCUAGGACUAGAGGACACAGAGUGGAUGUGGAGAGGAUGUUUCCUAUAGUGGGAGAGUCUAUUACCAGAGGGCACAGAUAGAGUGGAUGUGGAGAGGAUUUUUCCUAUAAUGGGAUAUUCUAUGACCAGAGGGCACAGAUAGAGUGGAUGUGGAGAGAAUGUUUCCUAUAGUGGGAUAGUCUAAGACCAGAGGACACAGAUAGAGUGGGUGUGGAGAGGAUGUUUCCUAUAGUGGGAGAGUCUAGGAACAGACGGCACAGAUAGAGUGGUUGUGGAAAGGAUGUUUCCUAUAGUGGGAGAGUCUAUUACCAGAGGGCACAGAUAGAGUGGAUGUGGAUUGGAUUUUUCCUAUAAUUGGAUAUUCUAUGACCAGAGGGCACAGAUAGAGUGGAUGUGGAGAGAAUGUUUCCUAUAGUGGGAUAGUCUAUUACCAGAGGGCACAGAUAGAGUGGAUGUGGAGAGGAUUUUUCCUAUAAUGGGAUAUUCUAUGACCAGAGGGCACAGAUAGAGUGGAUGUGGAGAGAAUGUUUCCUAUAGUGGGAUAGUCUAAGACCAGAGGACACAGAUAGAGUGGGUGUGGAGAGGAUGUUUCCUAUAGUGGGAGAGUCUAGGAACAGACGGCACAGAUAGAGUGGUUGUGGAGAGGAUGUUUCCUAUAGUGGGAGAGUCUAGGAACAGACGGCACAGAUAGAGUGGUUGUGGAAAGGAUGUUUCCUAUAGUGGGAGAGUCUAUUACCAGAGGGCACAGGUAGAGUGGAUGUGGAGAGGAUGUUUCCUAUAGUGGGAGAGUCUAGGAACAGAGGGCACAGAUGGAGUGGAUGUGGAGAGGAUUUUCCCUACAGUGUGGGAGUCUAUGACCAGAGCACACAGAGUCAGUGGAUGUGGAGAGAAUGUUUCCAAUAGUGGGGGAGUCUAGGACCAGAGGACAGAGACAGUGGAUGUGGAGAGGAUGUUUCCUAGAGUGGGGGAGUGUAGGACUCAGGACACAGAGUGGAUGUGGAGAGGAUGUUUCCUAUAGUGGGAGAGUCUAGGACCAGAGGGCACAGAUAGAGUGGAUGUGGAGAGGAUGUUUCCUAUACUGGGAGAGUCUAGGACCAGAGGGCACAGCUAGUGGAUGUGGAGAGGAUGUUUCCUAUAGUGGGAGAGUCUAGGACCAGAGGGCACAGAUAGAGUGGAUGUGGAGAGGAUGUUUCCUAUACUGGGAGAAUCUAUGACCAGAGGGCACAGCUAGUGGAUGUGGAGAGGAUGUUUCCUAUAGUGGGAGUGUCUAGGACCAGAGGGCACAGAUAGAGUGGAUGUGGAGAGGAUGUUUCCUAUACUGGGAGAGUCUAGGACCAGAGGGCACAGGUAGAGUGGAUGUGGAGAGGAUGUUUCCUAUAGUGGGAGAGUCUAGGAACAGAGGGCACAGAUGGAGUGGAUGUGGAGAGGAUUUUCCCUACAGUGUGGGAGUCUAUGACCAGAGCACACAGAGUCAGUGGAUGUGGAGAGAAUGUUUCCAAUAGUGGGGGAGUCUAGGACCAGAGGACACAGAGACAGUGGAUGUGGAGAGGAUGUUUCCUAGAGUGGGGGAGUGUAGGACUCAGGACACAGAGUGGAUGUGGAGAGGAUGUUUCCUAUAGUGGGCGAGUCCAGGAACAGAGGGCACAGAUAGAGUGGAUGUGGAGAGGUGGUUUCCUAUAGUGGUGGAGUCUAGGACCAGAGGACAGAGAUAGAGUGGAUGUGGAGAGAAUGUUUCCUAUAGUGUGGGAGUCUAGGACCAGAGGACACAGAUAGAGUGGAUGUGGAGAGGAUGUUUCCUAUAGUGGGAGAGUCUAGGACCAGAGGGCACAGAUCGAGUGGAUGUGGACAGGAUGUUUCCUAUAGUGGGGGAGUGUAGGACCAGAGGACACAGCUAGAGUGGAUGUGGAGACGAUGUUUCCUAUAGUGGGGGAGUGUAGGACCAGAGGACACAGGUAGAGUGGAUGUGGAGAGGAUGUUUCCUAUUGUGGGGGAGUCUAGGACUAGAGGACACAGAGUGGAUGUGGAGAGAAUGUUUCCUAUAGUGGGUGAGUCUAGGACCAGAGGACACAGAGACAGUGGAUGUGUAGAGGAUGUUUCCUAGAGUGGGGGAGUCUAGGACCAGAGGGCACAGAUAGAGUGGAUGUGGAUAGGAUGUUUCCUAUAGUGGGGGAGUCUAGGAAUAGAGGUCACAGAGUGGAUGUGGAGAGGAUGUUUCCUAUAGUGCGAGAGUAUAUGACCAGAGGGCACAGAUAGUGGACGUGGAGAGGAUGUUUCCUAUAGUAGGGGAGUCUAGGACCAGAGGACACAGAUAGAGUGGAUGUGGAGAGGAUGUUUCCUAUAGUGGAAUAGUCUAAGACCAGAGGACACAGAUAGAGUGGGUGUGGAGAGGAUGUUUCCUAUAGUGGGAGAGUCUAGGACCAGAGGACACAGAUAGAGUGGAUGUGGAGAGGAUGUUUCCUAUACUGGGAGAGUCUAGGACCAGAGUACACAGAGCCAGUGGAUGUGGAGAGAAUUUUUCCAAUAGUGGGGGAGUCUCGGACCAGAGGACACAGAGACAUUGGAUGUGGAGAGGAUGUUUCCUAUGGUGUGAGUGUCUAGGACCAGAGGACACAGAUAGAGUGGAUGUGGAGAGAAUGUUUCCUAUAGUGGGGGAGUCUAGGACCACAGGGCACAGGUAGAGUGGAUGUGGAGAGGAUGUUUCCUAUAGUGGGAGAGUCUAGGACCAGAGGACACAGCAAGAGUGGAUGUGGAGACCAUGUUUCCUAUAGUGGGGGAGUCUAGGACCAGAGGGCACAGGUAGAGUGGAUGUGGAGAGGAUGUUUCCUAUCGUGGGGGAGUCUAGGACUAGAGGACACAGAGUGGAUGUGGAGAGGAUGUUUCCUAUAGUGGGAGAGUCUAUUACCAGAGGGCACAGAUAGAGUGGAUGUGGAGAGGAUUUUUCCUAUAAUGGGAUAUUCUAUGACCAGAGGGCACAGAUAGAGUGGAUGUGGAGAGAAUGUUUCCUAUAGUGGGAUAGUCUAAGACCAGAGGACACAGAUAGAGUGGGUGUGGAGAGGAUGUUUCCUAUAGUGGGAGAGUCUAGGAACAGACGGCACAGAUAGAGUGGUUGUGGAAAGGAUGUUUCCUAUAGUGGGAGAGUCUAUUACCAGAGGGCACAGAUAGAGUGGAUGUGGAUUGGAUUUUUCCUAUAAUUGGAUAUUCUAUGACCAGAGGGCACAGAUAGAGUGGAUGUGGAGAGAAUGUUUCCUAUAGUGGGAUAGUCUAUUACCAGAGGGCACAGAUAGAGUGGAUGUGGAGAGGAUUUUUCCUAUAAUGGGAUAUUCUAUGACCAGAGGGCACAGAUAGAGUGGAUGUGGAGAGAAUGUUUCCUAUAGUGGGAUAGUCUAAGACCAGAGGACACAGAUAGAGUGGGUGUGGAGAGGAUGUUUCCUAUAGUGGGAGAGUCUAGGAACAGACGGCACAGAUAGAGUGGUUGUGGAGAGGAUGUUUCCUAUAGUGGGAGAGUCUAGGAACAGACGGCACAGAUAGAGUGGUUGUGGAAAGGAUGUUUCCUAUAGUGGGAGAGUCUAUUACCAGAGGGCACAGGUAGAGUGGAUGUGGAGAGGAUGUUUCCUAUAGUGGGAGAGUCUAGGAACAGAGGGCACAGAUGGAGUGGAUGUGGAGAGGAUUUUCCCUACAGUGUGGGAGUCUAUGACCAGAGUACACAGAGUCAGUGGAUGUGGAGAGAAUGUUUCCAAUAGUGGGGGAGUCUAGGACCAGAGGACAGAGACAGUGGAUGUGGAGAGGAUGUUUCCUAGAGUGGGGGAGUGUAGGACUCAGGACACAGAGUGGAUGUGGAGAGGAUGUUUCCUAUAGUGGGAGAGUCUAGGACCAGAGGGCACAGAUAGAGUGGAUGUGGAGAGGAUGUUUCCUAUACUGGGAGAGUCUAGGACCAGAGGGCACAGCUAGUGGAUGUGGAGAGGAUGUUUCCUAUAGUGGGAGAGUCUAGGACCAGAGGGCACAGAUAGAGUGGAUGUGGAGAGGAUGUUUCCUAUACUGGGAGAAUCUAUGACCAGAGGGCACAGCUAGUGGAUGUGGAGAGGAUGUUUCCUAUAGUGGGAGUGUCUAGGACCAGAGGGCACAGAUAGAGUGGAUGUGGAGAGGAUGUUUCCUAUACUGGGAGAGUCUAGGACCAGAGGGCACAGGUAGAGUGGAUGUGGAGAGGAUGUUUCCUAUAGUGGGAGAGUCUAGGAACAGAGGGCACAGAUGGAGUGGAUGUGGAGAGGAUUUUCCCUACAGUGUGGGAGUCUAUGACCAGAGUACACAGAGUCAGUGGAUGUGGAGAGAAUGUUUCCAAUAGUGGGGGAGUCUAGGACCAGAGGACACAGAGACAGUGGAUGUGGAGAGGAUGUUUCCUAGAGUGGGGGAGUGUAGGACUCAGGACACAGAGUGGAUGUGGAGAGGAUGUUUCCUAUAGUGGGCGAGUCCAGGAACAGAGGGCACAGAUAGAGUGGAUGUGGAGAGGUGGUUUCCUAUAGUGGUGGAGUCUAGGACCAGAGGACAGAGAUAGAGUGGAUGUGGAGAGAAUGUUUCCUAUAGUGUGGGAGUCUAGGACCAGAGGACACAGAUAGAGUGGAUGUGGAGAGGAUGUUUCCUAUAGUGGGAGAGUCUAGGACCAGAGGGCACAGAUCGAGUGGAUGUGGACAGGAUGUUUCCUAUAGUGGGGGAGUGUAGGACCAGAGGACACAGCUAGAGUGGAUGUGGAGACGAUGUUUCCUAUAGUGGGGGAGUGUAGGACCAGAGGACACAGGUAGAGUGGAUGUGGAGAGGAUGUUUCCUAUUGUGGGGGAGUCUAGGACUAGAGGACACAGAGUGGAUGUGGAGAGAAUGUUUCCUAUAGUGGGUGAGUCUAUGACCAGAGGACACAGAUAGAGAGGAUGUGGAGAGGAUGUUUCCUAUAGUGGGGGAGUGUAGGACCAGAGGACACAGAGAGAGUGGAUGUGGACAGGGUGUUUCCUAUAGUGGGGGAUUCUAGGACCAGAGGACACAGAUAGAGUGGAUGUGGAGAGGAUGUUUCCUAUAGUGGGACGGUCUUGGACCAGAGGACACAGCAAGAGUGGAUGUGGAGACCAUGUUUCCUAUAGAGGGGGAGUCUAGGACCAGAGGGCAAAGGUAGAGUGGAUGUGGAGAGGAUGUUUCCUAUAGUGGAGGAGUGUAGGACCAGAGGACACAGAUAGAGUGGAUGUGGAUAGGAUGUUUCCUAUAGUGGGGGAGUCUAGGAAUAGAGCUCACAGAGUGGAUGUGGAGAGGAUGUUUCCUAUAGUGCGAGAGUAUAUGACCAGAGGGCACAGAUAGUGGACGUGGAGAGGAUGUUUCCUAUAGUAGGGGAGUCUAGGACCAGAGGGCACAGAUAGAGUGGAUGUGGAGAGGAUGUUUCCUAUAGUGGGAGAGUCUAGGACCAGAGGACACAGCAAGAGUGGAUGUGGAGACCAUGUUUCCUAUAGUGGGGGAGUCUAGGACCAGAGGGCACAGGUAGAGUGGAUGUGGAGAGGAUGUUUCCUAUCGUGGGGGAGUCUAGGACUAGAGGACAUAGAGUGGAUGUGGAGAGGAUGUUUCCUAUAGUGGGAGAGUCUAUUACCAGAGGGCACAGAUAGAGUGGAUGUGGAGAGGAUGUUUCCUAUAAUGGGAUAGUCUAUGACCAGAGGGCACAGAUAGAGUGGAUGUGGAGAGAAUGUUUCCUAUAGUGGGAGAGUCUAGGAACAGACGGCACAGAUAGAGUGGAUGUGGAAAGGAUGUUUCCUAUAGUGUGAGAGUCUAGGAACAGACGGCACAGAUAGAGUGGAUGCGGAAAGGAUGUUUCCUAUAGUGGGAGAGUCUAUGACCAGAGGGCACAGCUAGUGGAUGUGGAGAGGAUGUUUCCUAUAGUGGGGGAGUCUAGGACCAGAGGACACAGAUAGAGUGAAUGUGGAGAGAAUGUUUCCCAUAGUGAGGGAGUGUAGGACCAGAGGACACAGAGAGAGUGGAUGUGUACAGGAUGUUUCCUAUAGUGGGGGAUUCUAGGACUAGAGGACACAGAGUGGAUGUGGAGAGGAUGUUUCCUAUAGUGGGAGAGUCUAUUACCAGAGGGCACAAAUAGAGUGGAUGUGGAGAGGAUGUUUCCUAUAAUGGGAUAGUCUAUGACCAGAGGGCACAGAUAGAGUGGAUGUGGAGAGAAUGUUUCCUAUAGUGGGAGAGUCUAGGAACAGACGGCACAGAUAGAGUGGAUGUGGAAAGGAUGUUUCCUAUAGUGGGAGAGUCUAUGACCAGAGGGCACAGCUAGUGGAUGUGGAGAGGAUGUUUCCCAUAGUGGGGGAGUGUAGGACCAGAGGACACAGAGAGAGUGGAUGUGGACAGGAUGUUUCCUAUAGUGGGGGAUUCUAGGACCAGAGGACACAGAUAGAGUGGAUGUGGAGUGGAUGUUUCCUAUAGUGGGACGGUCUAGGACCAGCGGGCACAGAUAGAGUGGAUGUGGAGAGGAUGUUUCCUAUACUGGGUGACUCUAGGACCACAGGGCACAGGUAGAGUGGAUGUGGAGAGGAUGUUUCCUAUAGUGAGAGAGUCUAGGACCAGAGGGCACAGGUAGAGUGGAUGUGGAGAGGAUGUUUCCUACAGUGGAGGAGUCUAGGACCAGAGGGCACAGAUAGUGUGGAUGUGGAUAGGAUGUUUCCUAUAGUGGGGGAGUCUAGGAAUAGAGGUCACAGAGUGGAUGUGGAGAGGAUGUUUCCUAUAGUGCGAGAGUAUAUGACCAGAGGGCACAGAUAGUGGACGUGGAGAGGAUGUUUCCUAUAGUAGGGGAGUCUAGGACCAGAGGACACAAAUAGAGUGGAUGUGGAGAGGAUGUUUCCUAUAGUGGAAUAGUCUAAGACCAGAGGACACAGAUAGAGUGGGUGUGGAGAGGAUGUUUCCUAUAGUGGGAGAGUCUAGGACCAGAGGACACAGAUAGAGUGGAUGUGGAGAGGAUGUUUCCUAUACUGGGAGAGUCUAGGACCAGAGUACACAGAGCCAGUGGAUGUGGAGAGAAUGUUUCCAAUAGUGGGGGAGUCUCGGACCAGAGGACACAGAGACAGUGGAUGUGGAGAGGAUGUUUCCUAUGGUGGGAGUGUCUAGGACCAGAGGACACAGAUAGAGUGGAUGUGGAGAGAAUGUUUCCUAUAGUGGGGGAGUGUAGGACCAGAGGACACAGCAAGAGUGGAUGUGGAGACCAUGUUUCCUAUAGUGGGGGAGUCUAGGACCAGAGGGCACAGGUAGAGUGGAUGUGGAGAGGAUGUUUCCUAUCGUGGGGGAGUCUAGGACUAGAGGACACAGAGUGGAUGUGGAGAGGAUGUUUCCUAUAGUGGGAGAGUCUAUUACCAGAAGGCACAGAUAGAGUGGAUGUGGAGAGGAUUUUUCCUAUAAUGGGAUAUUCUAUGACCAGAGGGCACAGAUAGAGUGGAUGUGGAGAGAAUGUUUCCUCUAGUGGGAUAGUCUAAGACCAGAGGACACAGAUAGAGUGGGUGUGGAGAGGAUGUUUCCUAUAGUGGGAGAGUCUAGGAACAGACGGCACAGAUAGAGUGGUUGUGGAAAGGAUGUUUCCUAUAGUGGGAGAGUCUAUGACCAGAGGGCACAGCUAGUGGAUGUGGAGAGGAUGUUUCCUAUAGUGGGGGAUUCUAGGACCAGAGGACACAGAUAGAGUGGAUGUGGAGUGGAUGUUUCCUAUAGUGGGACGGUCUAGGACCAGAGGGCACAGAUAGAGUGGAUGUGGAGAGGAUGUUUCCUAUACUGGGUGACUCUAGGACCACAGGGCACAGGUAGAGUGGAUGUGGAGAGGAUGUUUCCUAUAGUGGGAGAAUCUAUGACCAGAGGGCACAGCUAGUGGAUGUGGAGAGGAUGUUUCCUAUAGUGGGAGAGUCUAGGACCAGAGGGCACAGAUAGAGUGGAUGUGGAGAGAAUGUUUCCUAUAGUGGGAUAGUCUAAGACCAGAGGACACAGAUAGAGUGGGUGUGGAGAGGAUGUUUCCUAUAGUGGGAGAGUCUAGGAACAGACGGCACAGAUAGAGUGGUUGUGGAGAGGAUGUUUCCUAUAGUGGGAGAGUCUAGGAACAGACGGCACAGAUAGAGUGGUUGUGGAAAGGAUGUUUCCUAUAGUGGGAGAGUCUAUUACCAGAGGGCACAGGUAGAGUGGAUGUGGAGAGGAUGUUUCCUAUAGUGGGAGAGUCUAGGAACAGAGGGCACAGAUGGAGUGGAUGUGGAGUGGAUUUUCCCUACAGUGUGGGAGUCUAUGACCAGAGUACACAGAGUCAGUGGAUGUGGAGAGAAUGUUUCCAAUAGUGGGGGAGUCUAGGACCAGAGGACAGAGACAGUGGAUGUGGAGAGUAUGUUUCCUAGAGUGGGGGAGUGUAGGACUCAGGACACAGAGUGGAUGUGGAGAGGAUGUUUCCUAUAGUGGGAGAGUCUAGGACCAGAGGGCACAGAUAGAGUGGAUGUGGAGAGGAUGUUUCCUAUACUGGGAGAGUCUAGGACCAGAGGGCACAGCUAGUGGAUGUGGAGAGGAUGUUUCCUAUAGUGGGAGAGUCUAGGACCAGAGGGCACAGAUAGAGUGGAUGUGGAGAGGAUGUUUCCUAUACUGGGAGAAUCUAUGACCAGAGGGCACAGCUAGUGGAUGUGGAGAGGAUGUUUCCUAUAGUGGGAGAGUCUAGGACCAGAGGGCACAGAUAGAGUGGAUGUGGAGAGGAUGUUUCCUAUACUGGGAGAGUCUAGGACCAGAGGGCACAGGUAGAGUGGAUGUGGAGAGGAUGUUUCCUAUAGUGGGAGAGUCUAGGAACAGAGGGCACAGAUGGAGUGGAUGUGGAGAGGAUUUUCCCUACAGUGUGGGAGUCUAUGACCAGAGUACACAGAGUCAGUGGAUGUGGAGAGAAUGUUUCCAAUAGUGGGGGAGUCUAGGACCAGAGGACACAGAGACAGUGGAUGUGGAGAGGAUGUUUCCUAGAGUGGGGGAGUGUAGGACUCAGGACACAGAGUGGAUGUGGAGAGGAUGUUUCCUAUAGUGGGCGAGUCCAGGAACAGAGGGCACAGAUAGAGUGGAUGUGGAGAGGUGGUUUCCUAUAGUGGUGGAGUCUAGGACCAGAGGACAGAGAUAGAGUGGAUGUGGAGAGAAUGUUUCCUAUAGUGUGGGAGUCUAGGACCAGAGGACACAGAUAGAGUGGAUGUGGAGAGGAUGUUUCCUAUAGUGGGAGAGUCUAGGACCAGAGGGCACAGAUCGAGUGGAUGUGGACAGGAUGUUUCCUAUAGUGGGGGAGUGUAGGACCAGAGGACACAGCUAGAGUGGAUGUGGAGACGAUGUUUCCUAUAGUGGGGGAGUGUAGGACCAGAGGACACAGGUAGAGUGGAUGUGGAGAGGAUGUUUCCUAUUGUGGGGGAGUCUAGGACUAGAGGACACAGAGUGGAUGUGGAGAGAAUGUUUCCUAUAGUGGGUGAGUCUAUGACCAGAGGACACAGAUAGAGAGGAUGUGGAGAGGAUGUUUCCUAUAGUGGGGGAGUGUAGGACCAGAGGACACAGAGAGAGUGGAUGUGGACAGGGUGUUUCCUAUAGUGGGGGAUUCUAGGACCAGAGGACACAGAUAGAGUGGAUGUGGAGAGGAUGUUUCCUAUAGUGGGACGGUCUUGGACCAGAGGACACAGCAAGAGUGGAUGUGGAGACCAUGUUUCCUAUAGAGGGGGAGUCUAGGACCAGAGGGCAAAGAUAGAGUGGAUGUGGAUAGGAUGUUUCCUAUAGUGGGGGAGUCUAGGAAUAGAGCUCACAGAGUGGAUGUGGAGAGGAUGUUUCCUAUAGUGCGAGAGUAUAUGACCAGAGGGCACAGAUAGUGGACGUGGAGAGGAUGUUUCCUAUAGUAGGGGAGUCUAGGACCAGAGGGCACAGAUAGAGUGGAUGUGGAGAGGAUGUUUCCUAUAGUGGGAGAGUCUAGGACCAGAGGACACAGCAAGAGUGGAUGUGGAGACCAUGUUUCCUAUAGUGGGGGAGUCUAGGACCAGAGGGCACAGGUAGAGUGGAUGUGGAGAGGAUGUUUCCUAUCGUGGGGGAGUCUAGGACUAGAGGACAUAGAGUGGAUGUGGAGAGGAUGUUUCCUAUAGUGGGAGAGUCUAUUACCAGAGGGCACAGAUAGAGUGGAUGUGGAGAGGAUGUUUCCUAUAAUGGGAUAGUCUAUGACCAGAGGGCACAGAUAGAGUGGAUGUGGAGAGAAUGUUUCCUAUAGUGGGAGAGUCUAGGAACAGACGGCACAGAUAGAGUGGAUGUGGAAAGGAUGUUUCCUAUAGUGUGAGAGUCUAGGAACAGACGGCACAGAUAGAGUGGAUGCGGAAAGGAUGUUUCCUAUAGUGGGAGAGUCUAUGACCAGAGGGCACAGCUAGUGGAUGUGGAGAGGAUGUUUCCUAUAGUGGGGGAGUCUAGGACCAGAGGACACAGAUAGAGUGAAUGUGGAGAGAAUGUUUCCCAUAGUGAGGGAGUGUAGGACCAGAGGACACAGAGAGAGUGGAUGUGUACAGGAUGUUUCCUAUAGUGGGGGAUUCUAGGACUAGAGGACACAGAGUGGAUGUGGAGAGGAUGUUUCCUAUAGUGGGAGAGUCUAUUACCAGAGGGCACAAAUAGAGUGGAUGUGGAGAGGAUGUUUCCUAUAAUGGGAUAGUCUAUGACCAGAGGGCACAGAUAGAGUGGAUGUGGAGAGAAUGUUUCCUAUAGUGGGAGAGUCUAGGAACAGACGGCACAGAUAGAGUGGAUGUGGAAAGGAUGUUUCCUAUAGUGGGAGAGUCUAUGACCAGAGGGCACAGCUAGUGGAUGUGGAGAGGAUGUUUCCCAUAGUGGGGGAGUGUAGGACCAGAGGACACAGAGAGAGUGGAUGUGGACAGGAUGUUUCCUAUAGUGGGGGAUUCUAGGACCAGAGGACACAGAUAGAGUGGAUGUGGAGUGGAUGUUUCCUAUAGUGGGACGGUCUAGGACCAGCGGGCACAGAUAGAGUGGAUGUGGAGAGGAUGUUUCCUAUACUGGGUGACUCUAGGACCACAGGGCACAGGUAGAGUGGAUGUGGAGAGGAUGUUUCCUAUAGUGAGAGAGUCUAGGACCAGAGGGCACAGGUAGAGUGGAUGUGGAGAGGAUGUUUCCUACAGUGGAGGAGUCUAGGACCAGAGGGCACAGAUAGUGUGGAUGUGGAUAGGAUGUUUCCUAUAGUGGGGGAGUCUAGGAAUAGAGGUCACAGAGUGGAUGUGGAGAGGAUGUUUCCUAUAGUGCGAGAGUAUAUGACCAGAGGGCACAGAUAGUGGACGUGGAGAGGAUGUUUCCUAUAGUAGGGGAGUCUAGGACCAGAGGACACAAAUAGAGUGGAUGUGGAGAGGAUGUUUCCUAUAGUGGAAUAGUCUAAGACCAGAGGACACAGAUAGAGUGGGUGUGGAGAGGAUGUUUCCUAUAGUGGGAGAGUCUAGGACCAGAGGACACAGAUAGAGUGGAUGUGGAGAGGAUGUUUCCUAUACUGGGAGAGUCUAGGACCAGAGUACACAGAGCCAGUGGAUGUGGAGAGAAUGUUUCCAAUAGUGGGGGAGUCUCGGACCAGAGGACACAGAGACAGUGGAUGUGGAGAGGAUGUUUCCUAUGGUGGGAGUGUCUUGGACCAGAGGACACAGAUAGAGUGGAUGUGGAGAGAAUGUUUCCUAUAGUGGGGGAGUGUAGGACCAGAGGACACAGCAAGAGUGGAUGUGGAGACCAUGUUUCCUAUAGUGGGAGAGUCUAGGACCAGAGGGCACAGGUAGAGUGGAUGUGGAGAGGAUGUUUCCUAUCGUGGGGGAGUCUAGGACUAGAGGACACAGAGUGGAUGUGGAGAGGAUGUUUCCUAUAGUGGGAGAGUCUAUUACCAGAAGGCACAGAUAGAGUGGAUGUGGAGAGGAUUUUUCCUAUAAUGGGAUAUUCUAUGACCAGAGGGCACAGAUAGAGUGGAUGUGGAGAGAAUGUUUCCUCUAGUGGGAUAGUCUAAGACCAGAGGACACAGAUAGAGUGGGUGUGGAGAGGAUGUUUCCUAUAGUGGGAGAGUCUAGGAACAGACGGCACAGAUAGAGUGGUUGUGGAAAGGAUGUUUCCUAUAGUGGGAGAGUCUAUGACCAGAGGGCACAGCUAGUGGAUGUGGAGAGGAUGUUUCCUAUAGUGGGGGAUUCUAGGACCAGAGGACACAGAUAGAGUGGAUGUGGAGUGGAUGUUUCCUAUAGUGGGACGGUCUAGGACCAGAGGGCACAGAUAGAGUGGAUGUGGAGAGGAUGUUUCCUAUACUGGGUGACUCUAGGACCACAGGGCACAGGUAGAGUGGAUGUGGAGAGGAUGUUUCCUAUAGUGGGAGAAUCUAUGACCAGAGGGCACAGCUAGUGGAUGUGGAGAGGAUGUUUCCUAUAGUGGGAGAGUCUAGGACCAGAGGGCACAGAUAGAGUGGAUGUGGAGAGGAUGUUUCCUAUACUGGGAGAGUCUAGGACCAGAGGGCACAGGUAGAGUGGAUGUGGAGAGGAUGUUUCCUAUAGUGGGAGAGUCUAGGAACAGAGGGCACAGAUGGAGUGGAUGUGGAGAGGAUUUUCCCUACAGUGUGGGAGUCUAUGACCAGAGUACACAGAGUCAGUGGAUGUGGAGAGAAUGUUUCCAAUAGUGGGGGAGUCUAGGACCAGAGGACACAGAGACAGUGGAUGUGGAGAGGAUGUUUCCUAUAGUGGGGGAGUCCAGGAACAGAGGGCACAGAUAGAGUGGAUGUGGAGAGGUGGUUUCCUAUAGUGGUGGAGUCUAGGACCAGAGGACAGAGAUAGAGUGGAUGUGGAGAGAAUGUUUCCUAUAGUGUGGGAGUCUAGGAC